AUACCUUUCUCGGCCUUUUGGCUAAGAUCAAGUGUAGUAUCUGUUCUUAUCAGUUUAAUAUCUGAUAUGUGGGCUAUAUGCCCACAACGAUAUUAAAUUUAUUUUUUGUGGGGGAAGGUUCACAACAAUAGCUUGCUAUUGGGGCCUUCAGGUGUCGCCCAGGCCUUGCACUACAGCCUGGGCAGGCGCACCCCAA